rnacentral:rRNA from 1 species
GACCUCGGAUCAGGUAGGAAUACCCGCUGAACUUAAGCAUAUCAAUAAGCGAGA